AUUCAUUCCAAAUGAACAUAUACUAAAAUUGGAACAAUACAGAGAAGAUGGCCCCUGCGCAAGGAUGACACGCAAAUUCGUGAAGCGUUCCAAAUUUUA
rnacentral:snRNA from 1 species